UGGCCAGCUUGCCCCAUGGUGGUUGCCACACCGAGUGCCAAGCUGAAGGUGCCCAGGAGGGCAGCCCAGAGAAAUGAGGACUGCUGUGCUGGGUGGCACAGAGCCUGCCCCGGGUUCAGCAGGGCUUGCUGAGAAAUUGCCCCAGCCUGCAGCUGGGCUGCUGGAGAGACCCUGAAUAAGAACAUGCCUUAUCCCAGUGCAGCAUCACUGGGGAGAGCAGCUGUGGCGUUCCCAGGACAUCGCCAAUACAGUUCUAGUAACGGGCUACUUAUGCCAGGCAUUUAUGAUCCUAAAUGCAACAGAGGCUUAAAAUUUCAGGUUUUAUGAAACAAGCACUUCCUGGUGCACCAAGAAACACCGAGUCAAAAUGUGUGUGUGCCUGCCGAGCUGUGCCACUCAGGCAUAUCACAGUGGGUGAUGGCCUCUGGCUGGCCCAGUGCAGGGCCUGAAGCACUCUGCUCCAACAGGCACGGCUGCUGUGCUCUGCAGGGCUGGGAAACCAGCCCAGCCCAUGGGAACAACUGCUCUCGAGUGGGCAGGGAGGGCUGUGCUGCUGCUAGGAGACACAGCAACAGUGCUGGGGCAAGCGAUGAGCACGGCGCUGAUCCUGCCUGGGUCGUUCAGCGCUCAGUUCCUCUAGGAGCUCCCCAUAAGAGAGAUGUGUGGCUGCAGGAGGGGUCCCACCAGCCCUGUGCAACACGAGGAGCAGCCCCAGGCUUGGCAGGGACUGGCUGGCCCCGAGAGCAUUUCCUCACCUGCUGCUUCUGGACCCCACCACGACAAGUAAGGCUGGAUUUCUUGCACCCAGGUAAGAGAGAUUAAAAUGGGUUCACAGCUUGGAGGUGCCCCAGGGGCUGUCUUUACAAGAGCACCUGCUGGCUUUCGAAGCCUAAAAGUAAGAGCUUCACUGGUUAAAUUCAAAGCCAGAGCUGUGCCAGCUCCUGCGUGGAAUGUAGGCACAUGAUUUCCUUGGGAACCCAUUGCUACCGUAACUAAUUGCACUCCCAUGCCUUAUUGUCUGGAAAAACACGAAGGCAGCUAUGGCCAGCCUGCCCUCCAUUGUUGCCUGGGCAUAAUGCAUCUGGCUGUGCUGGGAGCCUGUGCCUCAGCUCCUGGAGGCGGGAUGCUCCUGAGCUAAACCCAGCUUCAGCCUGCAUUAAGGGCUGUGCCCUGAGCCCUGGUGCCUCCUUGGCUGCAGGGAGUCCAGCCCAUGUGUACGCAGCCAUUGAUCCUGUGCAGGGGCUGAGCUCCCCAUUCCAGUGCAUCACUGCUGGGGCAUGUCGUUGGGCCGUGCACGGCUGCUCAGCUAAGGAAAGCUUUUGGUCCCAGAUAGGGACUGCAUGACAGCCUGGUGGGCAGGGGCCAUGGCUUUGCUUGCAAAUAACCCCCGGAGGAAACAGCGCUGAGCUGUCCAGGGGAACAGCGAGGGCUCAGGGGAGGGCUGGGGAGCAGAGCACUCACCAUGUUCCUCCAGCUCCUGGGGGGGUCUUCUGCCCGCAGAAACCCAGCGAAAAUCCCAGGCACGGGGAGGCCGUGGGCACCCUCUGCCCCGCGCUGCUCCCACCGCCCUGUGCCGUGCUGCUCUGCCCGCGCCGCGCUCACACUGGGGCAGGACCGCCCCAGCACUCCCUAAAACCCACAAGAGGAGUUGUGAAACAGGAAUUAUGAUUUGUAUUGUAAUAUAACACCGGUCUAUCAGCAGCACCAUCACCUGCAGUAAUCUCCCGAGGUUCUGCCGCUGGCUGACUCACCUGCGGAGCCACUGUCACAAAAUCACUUAUCAGGAGCGAGCUGACUGACAGAGCAGGAUUUUUUCAUGCUCCUCUACAGAUGAUGAGAAGAACCACAGCCUUCCCGCUCUUUGUCCGUCCCUUCCGCAUUGCACUGGGUUGUUUGCAAACAGAGAUUCUGGUAGGUGGAGGAGGAAAGGAGAAGAGUUUACGCGUGAGGUUACGGGGCCAUCUCAUGUCCCUGUCCCUGGGGUCACUCGGAGUGUGCCCGCAGCACCGCGGUGGAGGUGACAUGUGGGGCAGCAGCAGCAGCUCAGUAUCCUGGGCUGGCUGAGCCCCAGCAGAUGGAUGGAGCAGAGGAUGGAUGCAGCACAUGGCCCCCAAACUCCCUGCAAUGAAUGGAUGCUGGAGGAUGGGCAUACCUCCCUGCAAACCCCAUCGCUUCGUGGAGAUGCUGCUCUGUGUUGGCUGGAUGUGCUGCUGUUGCUCAGGACAGGGCUGGCAGCAGUGUGGGCAAAGGGGUUCCUGCAGACCCCCAGCAGCAGGUGCUCAUAAAGGGUAGGAUGGGUGCUCAGCUUUGGAGUGCAGAAACUUCUCUGGCUGCCUGGAGGCUGGGGUCAGGGAGUGUGCAGCUUGCACACUGCCUGUGCUUGUGACAGCUCCUGGCUAGAAAGUCGUGCAGACUCAUGCUGGAAGUGGUGGGUGUGCAGGAUUUGUGAGCAGCUAAUUACCCCUCCUCUUUUUGUAAUUGAGCUUUCCCAACAGUCGGGGAGAGAGCUGCUGCCAGCUGUGAGCAAAGUGCCAGCGGGAGCCUGCAGAGCAUUGCAUCCCUGCAGCUCGCAGCUGGGGACGUGUCCCCUCCCUGUGCCAGAGCCCUGAGACAAGGACAUUGCUCUGGGACGGGCAGCAGCACAGCCCUGUAGCCUGACCAGGGAUCCUGGCAUCCACAUGCAGGCAUCCAUCCCCAAGCCUUGACUGAGUGGGACCUUGCCAGGAGGAGGCAGUUGGAGGCGGAGCUGCUCAGUCGAGCCAGUAGGUGAGGAGCGGUGUCACCGGGUGAGCAGGGGACACACAGGACACACUGGGCUCUGGGAGCCAGCCAUGAGCAGCUCCUGCGGGAAGGCAGCAGGCACGAAGAGAUGGACCCUGAGACAGGGCAUGAGCUCAUCAGCGUGCUCGGGUUCAUCUUGGGCAUCGGGCUGGCCUUGCUGAUCCUGAUCAUUUCUGGCUACACCAUUUUCCUCUGCUACCAGCAGGGCUGGGGCUGGUGCCGUGAGUAUGGGCAGAGCAGGGGAUGAGCAGUUGCAGAGCAGGAGAGGGACAAAGGAAGGGACUGCAGGGCCUGGGGUGUGGGGAAUGUGAAUGACAUUUGCUAGUCUCCAGAAUCUGCAUGCAGAGUGGCUGGAGGGUGCAUAGGGGAGAUGCCCAGAGAUGUCCCAGUGCUGCUGCAUGUCCAAGGGGCUGUCCUGUCCCUUCCCUGUGCCACCUCACGGAGCUCUACAGGCACUGCAGGGCCCUCUGACAGCCUCUCCUUCCCUCCUCCUCCUCCCAGGGCCUGACUUCAUCUUCAACCUCUACCAUGGUUGCAGGCUGAGGUCGGUGGCAGUGGAGCUGGCACCUCCGUUCAGCAUCAGUGCCUCUGUGAGCCAGGCAAGGUGCAGCUACAUGCACUUCCACGAGCAGGGGCUGUGAGCAGCAGAGCGUGGUCCUGCUCCGUGUGCGUCGGGUCCCAGGCUCAUGGAGGUCCUGCAGAGCCUGGAGCUGCAUGCACGGGGCCUUUCCGCGGUGGUGAGUAUGCUGCACCCCACAGCCUUCUACAACCCGGAGCCUCCUUCCCCUCUUGUAGCUCUGGCUGUGGCUUUUCCCUGGGAUAGUCCAAAGGAUUUUCCUCUGAAAGUCCUCUCCGAAGCUGUGAGGGAGGAGGGGCUGGAGUAUACAUGCUCCCUGUGCCCACAUGGCACUGGCAGCUUCUCCCUGCUGCCUCUUCCCCCCACAGCAACCACAGAAAGAACAACAAAAACCAGCCAUGGGGGAAUUCCUCUAUUCUAGGUUCUUUAACAAACAACUUCCAGAUAAGCAGGAUUUCUACCAAAUUUGGAGCAGUGCUGUUUCUGGUUUUGACUGAGCUUCUCCAUCUGGUGCUUUUCCUUUUCUGCCCCCCCCACAACUCGUCUUGGGCAGGGCUGGAAGGGUGCUGCUGCUGGGCAUGGGCUCAACCUGCUUCUCUUGAAGAGCAGGAAAAAGGGCACUGCUUCAUCCCAAGCAGAGCAAAGCGACCCUAUGUUCCCCACUGCUCAGACAUCCCAGUGCUGGGGACUCCAGGUUGCCCAGCAGACUUUGGGGCAGGCUGCUGGUGAAGCAGGACUGUGAGGAACCAGCCCAAAAACCCUGGCAAGGAGCCACAGAAAGGGAUGGCUGACUGUGCAAGAGGGGAAAAUGCUGUGAGGAAAUGAGAGAGCUUCAAACUUCCCUUGGUCAAGGAACUGUGCCAAUAUGGAAAUUUCUCCAGUCUGCACCGACUGUGCAAGAGAACACCUCAGAAAUCCCCGGUGGGUUUCCUUGAGGCUUUCUGGUGUGGUUUGUGUGGAUCUCAGCAGCCCAGUGCCGGGCUGUUGGGCACAGCAGGACAGGUCCCCGCGGGACUGAGCUCUAUGGGGACAGCUCUGGGCACAGUCUGGCUCUGCCCCUCCCUGGGCCGCCCUCUGCUGCCUCCAUCCCCUCUGUGCUUCACACCCCCGGGCACGGGACUCUGUGGGUGGGGGAUUUUUUGGAAAUGGUUUGGAAAUGUUGGAGCAUCACUGGAAAUGCAUUCAAGUGCUGGUGCUGGGGAGGAAAAGGGUCUUCACAGGCACAGCCCCCCCCGGAGGCAGGGGGCCGAGAUGCGAUGCUACGCACUGCAUGGGGAGGGAGGGGGAGGAAAGAGCUUUCUGCAGAAGGAAUGGGAGAGGAACAUCCUCAGCGUGCUGAGCUGUGACUUCACAGAGGAAAAUGUGAGCGCCUGUAGUUUCCCAGAGCCAGAGGGGCCGUCUGUGCUCUUUGCUUUUGAAGCUGAAGCGUGUGGUUUUCUGGCAAAGCCGUCUGUUUCACCGAAAGGAGAGCUCGCCGGAAAGGGGGGGGGGGGAAUUGGUGUCCUUCAGCCCCAGCUGCCGCCCGCUGGAGCCUCCCACGGUGAGUGGGAAACAGCAGAGCCCGGCGCAGCCCCGGGGACAGCUGCAGAGCUUGACGUCAGGAGCGCAGAAACCUCGCGCUUGUUUCUGACGACGCCGUUUUUCAGAGGAAGUCGAAC